UAGGGAAUAUUGGACAAUGGGGGCAACCCUGAUCCAGCCAUGCCGCGUGAGUGAAGAAGGCCCUCGGGUUGUAAAGCUCUUUUGUCCGGAAAGAAAAGCAUUCGGUGAAUACCCGGAUGUUCUGACGGUACCGGAAGAAUAAGCACCGGCUAACUUCGUGCCAGCAGCCGCGGUAAUACGAAGGGUGCAAGCGUUACUCGGAAUUACUGGGCGUAAAGCGUGCGUAGGUGGUUGUUUAAGUCUGAUGUGAAAGCCCUGGGCUCAACCUGGGAAUGGCAUUGGAAACUGGGCAGCUAGAGUGCGGUAGAGGGUAGUGGAAUUCCCGGUGUAGCAGUGAAAUGCGUAGAGAUCGGGAGGCACAUCUGUGGCGAAGGCGACUGCCUGGACCAGCACUGACACUGAGGCACGAAAGCGUGGGGAGCAAACA
rnacentral:rRNA from 1 species